CUCUGCGCCCCUAGUCCUGAGCUCUGAGCUUCUUUGUCCGGGGAGGGGGAGAAGGCACCUCCUUACUUUUCUACACGGAUCUGGGAUUACUCAUGCGGGUGCAUAUCGGCGCGGCAGCAGUUGGUUUCACUCCGAUUUAUGGGGGGGUUCUAUCAGUUUCCCCUCCGACCCGCAGCCUUUAGGGCUAUGGAGGGCUCACAGAUGGGCCCUCACAUCUUUUCAAUUUCAAAGCUGGAAAACACCUUAGAGACCAUCCAGAGGCAGAACCACGCAGGGGGCUUUAGAGCUGGAAGAAACUGCCCCAAGUCUUGCUCCAAGGGAAAUAAUGCUCCAACGUACACCCUCCCCCACCCUGCCCCAGACCCACGUUCACACUAGGUCAUAAUCGAGAGCUGCUAGGCAGCGUAAAGGCUACUUAGUCACCUUCCUCCUACUCAAACUGGUGGCUGCCCAUUACCCCUAGGAUGAGGACCUGUUAUGAUGUUGAAUGGGGGUAAUUUGCCUGGCUAGAGGGGGUUACCUGAUGAGGAAAGUCCUACCAAUGCAGCCUCUAGGUUGAACCUUCCUGGCCUCGCGGAAGACUCCAUUCAGAGAGGAAGCUGGAUGGUUUAGUGGAGAGAGCAUCAGGCAUGGAGUCUAGAGGAUCUGGAUUCAAAUGGGACCUCCACGCUAUCUACCACCAAAGAAGGAACUGUCGCAAUCAGACUGCAGUUCAAAGCA